CCGGGCCGGGAGCAGGGCUUGCCAGGGUCCAUUGUACUCACGCUGGGGGGCUGAAGACCUUCUUGUACUGGUUCUGUUUAUCAGCCAAACUUUAGCUGACCUUUGGACUUGCUCCAGGACACAGCAGUUCCCAGGGUGGCGCUCAGCGGCCGCGAGGUCACCGCAGCACUGGUGGGAGCAGACGCCCACCAAGCCGCUGAGGGAAUGAAGUUUUUUUCCACCUGGGUCCGGUCAGGAAAGAAACCGGAACUGUUCAGCUUUAUGGGAGUUUCACCUGCAUCUCCCCAGGGCGCCGAAGGGGGAAAGGAAGGAGGCCUGCGGCGCACCUGGACGUGCAGGCUGGUUCUGACCUGCAGAAGAACAGGGCAAGGGGCUUUUUAGGAUCCACCGUUCACAGACCCAUAGGCAGAGGACACCCCCUGACCCUCUCUAAGCCUCAGUUCCUCAUCCGAGAAAUACUGCAGCGGACAGUGCAGGGGGAGGGGUGGUGCAUACAUUGAAUGAGACCACCUGUGAACCCCUUGGUCUAAUAAUUGGUGUUCACACUUUUCAGCCUGGAAAGGGGAGGAAGCCAGUUCCCAGUAGGAAAAUCUAACCCCUUUGGGGGCUUAGUAUUCUCAGAAUCCGGCAGAUCCAGCACUGGGGUUGGAGGGACUGGGAGAUUAGGGACAAAAAUUCAGAAUCAGCAGGGAAUUUGCAAAGGAGCUUCUAAUCAAAAUCUCCUACCAUUCCCACCUUUAAAAGGCAGGAGGAAGUUGGGACUAGUUCUGGGAAAUGUGGAAUUUCAGCAAGGGGAAGGAUCAGCGGCUCUCAUCUGCUUCAUUCUGGAUCAAAUCUCUUAGGUGUGCUAGAGCUGAAGCUCUAGGGGCGACUGAUCCAAGUUUGACUGCUAAGAGUGAGACUGCCUCUCAAACACGGGGUCUGCUGGGGAUGCCUGGGACACGUGCCGGGAGCCAGAAGGAAGGGGGUGAUUGUGUGCAUGGAGUGUAUGGAGCCUUCCGGGAAGUUUACACUGUCUCAGGCUCUUCCCUUGAGAAAGGGUUAAUAAGUUCAUGGAAAUGAGGGUCCUUCAUUUCACCCUAUUGUCUUUUAGUUUGUUGUGACAUAUGGCAGGUCCUUGCCCCUCACAAUUCGGCCCAAUGGGAGAACAUUCUCUGCCUACCGAGAUCCCCUCAGCCAGGAUAAUGAAGUGUUCAGAGUAAAUGUCCCUGGAGAACAA